GUUAUCUCCUAUUGAUUUUUCCUCCUCAAGUGAUAGCCAAUGGGGUAGCCAUUGGCUAUCACUUGCGGAGGAAAAAUCAAUAGGAGAUAACCCCCCU